CAAAAUGGUACAUUUAGAUGGGUAGAGGGUGGUGCAUAGAUGGCACCACCUUAGUUUUGACCAAAAAAAAAAAACAAAAUUGUUUAAACAAAAACAAAAACUGAUGGGACAGCACACUGGUCACGCCUAUGGCAGAGCCGAUACCAGUCAAGCCUUUCCCAUAGGCGGCACCAAUCAAGCCAUCCCCAUAGGUGGCACCCACUCCCCACCCCAUCCCCAUCCCCAUCCCCAUCCGACUCUAUUUAAGGCAUCAGUAAAAAAAAUAACAGAAGAAGAGAGGGAGAAGAGAAAAAAGAAAGAAAAGAGAAAGAAAGAAAAUGUAUUAUUAUUUUUUGUUAUUUUCAAAUAUAAUAGAUUAUGAUAAGAAAAUAAUAUUUUAUUAGUAUUAUAUAGUUUGUUUAGUGUUAUUUUUAUGUUUUGUUUUAAAGUUAUCUUGUUUAUUGUGAUUUGUUAGUAAAUUUUGUGUUUAGAUUAAUU
rnacentral:lncRNA from 1 species